GACGAACGCUGGCGGCGUGCUUAACACAUGCAAGUCGAACGGAAAGGCCCUGCUUUUGUGGGGUGCUCGAGUGGCGAACGGGUGAGUAACACGUGAGUAACCUGCCCUUGACUUUGGGAUAACUUCAGGAAACUGGGGCUAAUACCGGAUAGGAGCUCCUGCUGCAUGGUGGGGGUUGGAAAGUUUCGGCGGUUGGGGAUGGACUCGCGGCUUAUCAGCUUGUUGGUGGGGUAGUGGCUUACCAAGGCUUUGACGGGUAGCCGGCCUGAGAGGGUGACCGGCCACAUGAGGACUGAGAUACGGCCCAGACUCGUACGGGAGGCAGCAGUGGGGAAUAUUGCACAAUGGGCGGAAGCCUGAUGCAGCAACGCCGCGUGCGGGAUGACGGCCUUCGGGUUGUAAACCGCUUUCGCCUGUGACGAAGCGUGAGUGACGGUAAUGGGUAAAGAAGCACCGGCUAACUACGUG
rnacentral:rRNA from 1 species